GUUUUUAUAUUUUGUUAAUAGAAAUAGAUAUGAGGACUUAAAGGGUUUAUAUUUAGGUAGUGCUUGAGCCAAGGAAAAUGAUAGUCCACUAUCUUGACCCUAUGCAUCACAAACCAUGUGAGGACUUAAAGGAUAUCGUAAACAUGGCUCUUCGAAUAUCUGCAAAGAAAACAUCUAAGAGGGAGCCAUCUUAGCAACUAGUGCAGUGUCCAAGACAAGAAGGAGGGUUCGAAUGUGGCUACUUUGUUAUGAGAUUCAUUAAAGAGAUAAUUUUUUAUCCUACAAUUAUUUCUUCAAAGGUAUUACUUAUUUAAUGAAUUGUACAUAGUUUUAGGCUUCCAAAUGUUAUGCAUUUUAAUGUUAUUUUCUUAUUUGAUUUCAGUUUGGUAAUAAAAAAAACAUAUUCUCAAGUAGAAUUCGAUGAAAUUAGAGGAGAACGGGCUACUUUUAUGUUACAACUAAUCAUGAAUCAUGUU